rnacentral:misc_RNA from 1 species
UCCUUUCUGCCCUGAAGCAUUAUGUCCC